CUCCAGAGGGAAGCACUUUCUGUUGUCUGAAAGAAAGCAAAGCGCUCCCCUUUAGAGGA
rnacentral:pre_miRNA from 1 species